GCGAGGAAGGAGACCGUCUUGGCAACCUUCUCCAAGCACUCCUGACUCUGCACCAGCAACGAAUCGCCACUGCUCUCCACAAUUCAGUCAAACCUGUAAAUUCUACUCGGGAGCUAAGAAAAUGAAAGGGUUAUAGGCUAUUUCUAGACCAGAGCUAUUUGAUAAGAUGGCCCAAAGUGGUCAUGAACAAAAUUUACAAACUAAAUGAUAAUGAAACAAAGGCGUUUAGCCAGCUUUGCAAAUCUACAUGAAAAAGUUAUGUAAAUUUUAUUUUCUUGCGGCACACACAUUAGUAGGAAUAGAACUAGCAAAUUUACAACAAACAAUAUACGGUGGAUCCUACAGAUUAUUGAGAUCAGAAUGUUCCAACACAUCAAAGAUAGAUAUCCAGCAAAGCCAAGAUUUGAACUAUCCGGCAGACAAGAAAACGUAUAUACACAAAAAUAUCUUGCAUUGCAUGCACAUUUUAUAUUUAAUGGGUGGUAUAAAGCAUAAUGCAAAGCUCAACAAAACUCGGUUUGCUCAUAUGUACAACUUUCAAUACUAACACAUAUAUUGAGCAAGGUAAACCAGCAGCGAUGGCACUAUAUUUCUCAACUUCUUUAGUGCUCAGGAUUAGUAUAUCAUGCUUCCGGGAAAGCAAAGAGCGAGGAGCACGAAGAGCAGACAGAAUCUCCCAAUUUGUAAGCAGUUUACCUACAGUGCACAAGUGUAGAUCGAUCAGCAGUUGAAACUAGGAUUUACAAUUUCCUUUUUUUCAUAAACUGCAUGAACGGAAUCUAUGAAAGGGGGGAACAACACAAUCUAAGCUGA
rnacentral:lncRNA from 1 species